GGUCCUGGUGUGCAGCCGCUAACUGCUCUGGCCCCGGGGCCAGCUCUCCAGCUGAAUCUGUGUCCAGGAAUGGAACCAAAGUCUCGGUCAAAGUCUCAGUCGAUUCCUGAGGCGGAGCUGACAUCUGGGAGGAAGCAGAGGACCCCAGGUGAGGAAGCCAUGGUUUAAAGCAGAGAUCACCAACUGCUGGACCACAGACCUGCACGAGUUCACGGCCUGUUAGGAACCGAGCCACACAGCAGGAGCACAUGCUCCUCUGCAGAAAGUGAUGGGGCUGCCUUGCCAGCUGGAGCCUGAAACUGUGCCCAGGUAGACAGAACUGCGAGUCCCAGGACAGCCUGGGAAGUGUUGGCUGCCUGGUAAUGGAAGAAUGUCCAGGAUGGAAAACAAGAGGCUGGAUCUGCAAAUGACAUUGUAUUUCAGGGGUCUGCUUUCCUGGUCUGCCCCUCCCCACCUCUGUAGCUCCCUCACAGUGACAGCAGAGCUGUGAACCCAGGAACAAACCCCACCAUUGCCCCUGUCCUCUCUCAUCUCUACUUUCCACAUUGAAAAAUAAUAAAAGAGGCCAGGCAUGGUGGCUCAAAACAGCUAUAAUACCAGCACUAGGAUGCCAAGAUGAGAGAAUGGCUUGAGGCCAGGAGUUCAAGACCUGCCUGAGCAACAUAGAGAGACCCACCCCCCAGUCUCUGCAAAAGCUAAAAAUUAGCUGAGCAUGGUGGGAUGCACUUGAAGUCCCAGCUACUUGGAGGCUAAGUCAGGAGGAUCACUUGAGCCCAGAAGGUUGAGGCUGUAAUGAACCAUGAUUGUGCCACUGCAUUCCAGCCUGGGUGACAGAGUGAUAUCCUGUCUCUAAAAAAUAAAUAAGGUAAUAAUAAUAAAAUAAAUGCCCUCCAGGAGUUUCA